GAAAUGCGAUACGUAAUGUGAAUUGCAGGAAUCUGUGAAUCAUUAAAAUUUUGAACGCAAGUUGCAGCUCUUUAAAAGAGCUAUGUAUAUUUCAGUGUUGGUAAAAAACAAUAAUAAUACAAAUUUUGUAUUAAAUUGAGUGUAUAUAUUUUUAAUAUAUUCACUUUAAUUUUAGAAUUUUUUAAUUUACCAUUAAUUGUUUGAUAUUUUUAUCAUUCAAAAAAGGUUAAUUAAUUAUAUAAUUCAAGCAAAUUUAUUUUUAAUAAAUCAACCUGAAAUUAUGCAAGAUUACCCGCUGAACUUAA
rnacentral:misc_RNA from 1 species